ACAGGUCAGAGUCUCUGUAUUCUUUAGCACUCAGCGUAAGUCAAAACAUAGCGAAAAGAACCGGACUAAAGCUAUUCUACGCGGUGGAUCUUGUUUCAGAUCCACCAUUUCAGCAUCUCAUUCAAAGUUUGCAUGAAACUUCAAUUCAGACCAUUUCAAUAGCCCACCAUAGCAAAUUGUCUGAGUCAAUGAUCACGGAUUAUAGGAAAAAUAUUAUAUUUAAUUUUAAUGACGUCAGUGAGUUAUUCAAUUUUAUUUUUAACACCAUAUUGCAGUCAGAAUCUCUAGACCUGUACAGUGAAAUGGAGGAAGGUCUUGAACGGAGCACAAUGCACGCUAUUAAUCAGACAACUGGAAACUUACCUCGUUUUUGCAUUAAAAUUGAAAAGCUUCACUACCUAUGGCCAAAAGAGGGGUGUAGAAAAGAGAUAAGUAUUUCAUCCACUGAACUAGAACAUGGUUCCUAUCUAACUGACUCAGUUUUUAACGCAACUCGCGGUUUCUUCGCUAACAAAAUUUGGAAUUUUAGAAACCAUCUAAUUUUCCUAUUGAAAAAUGUAGGCGAACGUAUCAGAGGGCCGACGUCAAGAGUACUCCAACAUGAAACUCUCCCGAGUUUUGAGAUGGGCAGGAAUCGGACUCUGUCAAUUUGUUUCAAAUUCUUUUGGCGCUUUUUCAAAGGCCAAAAAACUGUUAUAUGCCACCCAAGUGGCUGUGAAAGGUACGACCCGUUCACAGAGAGCCUUAUUUUCUACCCGGACUGGGAUGAGACGGACAAGGAUUUUUUCGCUUUCUCUUGUACAAACAUGCAUAAAAAGUCAGUGUUCACAUUGGAAGACUACUCACGUCAAAAAGGUUUUAAAACUGCUAACCAAGCAACUUGGAGUAACUGGAAUGUGUUUUAUUUAACCGUAUUUGAACACUUGCAACACUCUGUGAACUUUACCCAAAAGUAUUCCGACAAAUUUCUGUAUCCUAAAAUUGAGGAUGCCUUGAAGUAUGACGUCAGUCUAAUUUCUUUCGAAACUGGAAUAGUUUUAGAGGGAACUGAUCAUUCCAAAUUCGAUUAUUCCGUUAGUAUUGACACCAGUGCUCUGUGCAUCGCCACCCCUCACAGUGGUUACAUGUCGCAGGGUCUGGUAAUUUUCAAGAGUUUUUCGUCAGUUGUUUGGAUUUUCAUUUCUGUAACGAUUGCCUCUCUUGUCAUAAUGCAAUAUGUUUUCCAGUAUUCGCAGUACGAAUUAUUCCAUCGUCUCUAUACAGAUGCAGAGGUAGAUUAUUAUAGGGAAACCUCCACCCUGUUGACUGUCUACGCAUACUUCAUCUGUGGGAGCCCCCCAUCUCUACAUCUCGGUCAUUUGUUUACUGGGAAGGUUCUUUUUUUAAUUCUUAGUUUCUCCACGAUUACUAUAUCCACUGUAUUCUUGAGUGGCAUGACAACGUUACUAAGUGAUAGAGUUUUGGCCCCGGAAAUUGACACAUUAAACAAUUUAGAAGAGUCUGACAUGCUGAUCCAAAUUGCUGAGGACCAAGAAACUGAGGCGAAUCUUUUUGACCAUUUAAACCAGUCUGAGGCACUGCGAGCAAAACUGGCAAGUAACUUGCGUUAUUACGAAUAUGAAGUGGAUUGCGAGAUAUUUUUAAGGAUUGCAGGCUCUGCGAAGGGAGCCGACACUAUUGCUGACGUCUUGCGCCUCGAUAAAUCCCUCAAUGUUGGGAUUGAAGAGAGUAAGAAGAAUGUGCGUUCGAUAACAGAGACGGACUCCGUUUUGGUGAGUGUACCUUUCUCUUCAACACCUAAAACAAAUAUUCGCAUGAGACAUUCCCCUUCCGUAAUGGAUCAAUGGGCUGAGUACCAUUUGAUGAUGGAAUGCCUCAUAACAUAUCCAUUGAUUUUUGCAUUUGUGAAAGAUUCUUUCCUCUUCGAUAAAUUGAACGAGAUAAUGGCUCAAUACUUCGAAACCGGGCAUGCCAGAAGGAUAUUGGAAACAUCUUUACAGGGUGAGCUGCAAUUGGGCGUGCCCUACGCUGAAAAUAGUUCGGAGCCACGUGCGUUUGAUUUGAAUGAUUUACAAUCUGGAUUCAUUGGUCUUAUUGUGGGCUUGUUCAUAAGUUUCCUUGCUUUUUUAGGGGAACUUUUGUUCGAUUACUUUCAAGACUCAGUCGCUGUAAAGUUUUUAAUGAGAUUUAAGCAUUUCCUAUUCAAAAAACGCUUGAUUAUAAUGUAAAGGAGGGAAAUCUUAACUUAAAUCAAAAGACGAGAAGACCCUUUAGAAUUUUACAAACCAAGCCAACUAGAUAAAUUUGAUUUGUUAAAUUGUGGAUUUCUGUAAAUCUCAACUCAAUUCAAUAUUUUUUUGCGAUUAUCGGUACAUGUGAUAAUCCAUGUGUAUCGCAGUUUGAUGUGUUUGUUGUUUUCGUUGAGUUAGAUGUGAUUAUUGCGUCUGAUGUGUUUGUUGUUUGUUUGGUUUUUG
rnacentral:lncRNA from 1 species